AGCGUGCAAGUAGACAGUAAUCAUUUGCGGAUCAGCAUACUCCAACAGAUUCGCUGCCGUGUGUCUUCUACCAUCCGGAUCAAAUAUCGUACCACCAACUUUGGUGCCAUGAACAUGUUCGUAGGUGAAACCAUUGUAGGGAGUCACUCCAACCUCCAAAAGACCAUCUAUAAAAGCCGUUUGCCAUCCCUUAAUCUGUGGUUGGAACACCAACUUCUUCUCGACCCACUCGUAAGCAGCUGCGACCUCUUCUCUUACCCAACCAGUUUCCGCCACGAACUCAUCUUCCGCGCGUGAGUAGAAUCCAGCGUUUAGCACCGUUCCUCCUCCGAGCACGCGUGCGCGUGAGUUGAAAACGCCGUCUUCGGAGAUGAAUAGCUGAGACCACGAGUUUGGAGUUGUGUUCAAGAAUGUGUUCAAGAAGUUUCCGAUGUCUGUGGCCGUGGGAUUGUCGUAAGGGGACCCACCACGUUCGAGAACUAAAACAGUAGCGUUUUGGGAUAGCGUUGCGGCUAGUGCACAUCCGGCGGUUCCUCCUCCGAUGACUAUGUAGUCGAAGUGAGAUAACAUUGGUGCUGAUGUAGCAGCAUCUUUCGAAAAACUGUAAUAACCAGCUUCACGAUAGCAAAAGUUCAUUAAUUUUUUAAAGUAUACACAAAUAACCACCUAAAGAUUCAGAAAUGAUUAGUGAAGGAGGUAAUAAUCGUACCUUUGUCGGAAUAACACGAGCCAUGUAAGAUGAAAACUGCGACGCUAAUCAAACGAAAUAAUCGGAAUAUAUGAAAAUCCAUUAUGUUGUAUAUCUUUUUGGCAUCAGAAGACCAGAUUUCAUGCGCUUUAUAUAAUGGUGAAGUGUAUAUUAAUUAUCAACGUUAACUAGAGUUUCUCCUCAAUGAAAAAUUCAUCAAUAAAUUACUAAUAUAAUAAUAUAUUUAAGUUAAAGAAACAAAAAUGUAGCAUAACUGCCUUUUAUUAUUUUUCGAGCGAACUACUCUUUUUUUUUUGAACUAUUUUUUGCAAUAUUUAAAUUUUUUGUGUUUUUUGUUUUUAUGUGGUUUUUACAAACCCACCCUUUGUCUUCUUUGAAAAACUAGCAUGAACAAAGUCAUAGCAUUAUUAUUGGAGGUUUUUAGGGUGAGAUUUUUAUCGGAAUAUAAGAAUUUAUUUUUUAAUUUUUAAUUAAAAAAGCUAAGAACCGGUUUUUAAAUAAAAGUUUUAAGAGCCGGUUCUUAACUUUUUUAGUUAAAAGUUAAGAGACGAGUUCUUAUAUUCUGCUAAAAUCUUUAUUCUAAGAAUCCUCCAACAAUCAUGAUCUGUUACAGUGGUUUUGUCUUCUUCUAAUAUUUAGACUUUUUUUUUAAAUUCUGACACGAUUAAUUUAGUCCACAUACUCAACUUGUCCGUUUCAGAUCAGUUUGGUAAGUAAAUUUCCGUGUAAGAUUUUUGUUUUAUGAUUAGUAAUAUAUGGUCGACUGGGUAUUUUCCUCAAUUUUGUGCAGCGAAAAAAAUUUAAAUUUAAAAAUAAAAUUUUCUUAAUGUUUUAGAUUUUCUUAUUUUUAUACCAAUAUUAUAAUAUUAAUAUUUUAUUUGAACAUAAAAUUAUAAUAAAAUGAAUAAUAUGAUUUAUUUAAAAUUAUAUUUAUAUAGAUUUUUUAUCUAUUUUUUGGUUAAAAUAUAUUAAAUAAACUUGUAUAAAUUAAAAAAAGAUAUUUUUUUAUAAUUAUCAAAAUAUAAAACUAAAUAGAAUCUCUAAAAUUGGUAGAUAUCAAAAAGAAAAAAUGAUAUUAGGAUUAAAAUUUAUAGUUUUUUUACAAUAUUGUAUAAAAUUUGGAAAAUCUUGUUAAUAAUAAAAAUUAUAUGAUUAUAAAAAUAUACUAAAAUAAUAUUUUGAAAUUUGUAAAAUAUUUAUAUUUCUAUUAUUAUAUUAUUUAAUGACAUAUUUGAAUAUAUUUAUUUUAAUGUAAAUUUAUGAGUUAUUACCGUAUUCUAAAGUUUACCAAAAUAUAAAUUUACAUUAAAUGUAAUUUCCAAAUCAUAUUUAUCAUAAGUCAUGUUAUUAAUUCUAACAUGUCAAGUCAUUUUUUUUAGAGAAAGUGAUUGUAGAGAUGACAUGUGUCAAAUCACUUCUCAAAUGUGGGCAAAUUCUCACAAGUAUCACAUUCAUAGUAUCACUUUUCAUCUUUACACUAAACACAAGGGUUUCGAGUUAAGGGGUGAGGUAGGGUUUUUUGAAUGUGAAAUUUAGGAUUCUAAUAAAUAUAUAAAUAAAUACUUAAAAAAAUAUAAAAAGUUCAAAUUUGAAAAAGUAUAAUUCGAAAACAUAUAGAAAAAUAAAUAAUUCGAAAACAUAAAAAAACAAUAUUUUUAUUAUCUUUUAUUAUUUUUUAAGUAAAAAUAUAAUGUUUUUUAUGUUUUUGAAUUAUUAUUAUUAUUAAAAAAUAAUAAUAAUAAUUCGAAAACAUAAACAUUUUAUUUUUAUUAUUUUUUAUUUUUUAUUUUUUAAAUUUUAUUUAUUUAUUUAAAUAAUGAUUUAUUAUAUAUUUAGAGAACAACGGUAUAAGAGUUUUUUGCCACUUAAUGAAGAAGAUAUUUUUGAAAAUGUUCCUUUAGUGGUGGUAAAGAUAAAAAAUGAUAUCAUAAAAGUGGGAUGUUACCGCUAUGAUUAAACUAGUAACUAGAGUUGAAUCCGCGUAUCCGCGUAGAUAUCUUUAUUUUUUUAAUAAUAUUUUAAAUAUAAGAUAAGUUAUAAGAGUGUAUAUUUUAUAUUGGUUUUAGUUUUUAUAUAAUAUAACUUAUAAAAGUAAAUUUUGUAUAUAAGUUUAAAACUUUUAUAUUUGGUGAAAUUUGUUUUUAGUAAAAGUGUACUAUUCAUAUAUUAACCACUUGUGUUGUUUCUUUGUUAGUUUGUUUAUUUAAAAAUGUAACAUUAUAUUAGAAUUUUUUUCUAUGCAUUAAUUUUAUAUGAAUUAUUACUAAUUUUAUCUGAACUUUUGUUUGAAAUUUAAUAUUUUUGAAAUGUUGAUAUGUAGCUAAAUUAAAUUAGUUAAUACUAUAUUUUGUUAACAUAUACAAUACAAAAUCCAUAAAUUAAUACUCGAUAAGUUAAUAAACAUGGUAAAUUAAUAAAUUUUUUGAUCCUAAGUUAGACUGGUACAAAAUAUGACGCAAUCAAUAAGAUAAUAAAAUAGAUUUUGCCAAAAAUAUGACAUUCAUAAUACCAUAAAUCGAUAAACUAAUAUAAACUUAGGGUUUAGAGUUGAGAAGUGAGUAGGGUUUUUGAAAUGUGAAAUUUAGUAUUCUAAUAAAUAUAUAAAUAAAUACUUAAAAAAUGUUUAAAAAAUUAGUUUCAAAAACAAAUUUUGAAAAACAAAUUUGAAAAAAUUAUUUCGAAAAAAAAUUAUAAAAAUUUAGAAUUUGAAAAAGUAUAAUUCGAAAACAUAAUUUUUUAUAUAUAUAUUUUUUUGUUAUUUAUUUAAAUAAUUAUUUAUUAUAUAUAUAAAGACAAAUGUAUAAGAAUCUUUUUGUCUCUUAUGAACAAGGGUACAAGAGUCUUUUCCCCUAUAGUUUAUUCAUUUGAUCAAAUUCAAAUAUCAAAAAAAAAAAUUAAUUUUGUCAAUUCAAGUAUGAUACAUAUUUCUAAAAUUUUGAAAUUAGCAUAUUAUUAUAUGGCGUAUAUUUUAAUUUAAAUGAUACUAAAGUAAAUAAUUUUUUUAAUUUGAAUAUAUAUUAAAUAAGAUUUCUAUUUAUUUAAUUUUAUGAUAAUUUUUGUAUCUUGUUAUAACAAAAAAAAUUCAGUAUAGAACUACAGUUUUUGUAAUUUAUAAUCACUUUUAUUAUAUUGUUAACGUGAUUGUCUACUUUAUUUUAAUAAUAUAAAAUUAAACAAAAAUAUAAAGUAAACAAAAAUGAAAAAAAAAUACACAAACUAUUAUCAAAUCUUUAUUAUUUAAAACUAUUAUUUAUAAAUAUUUUAAUCACAUUAGAUAAUUCCGUAACUUUUAUCUACGGAGAAAAAAAAUAUUUUAUAGAUUUUAAUUAAUUUUAUGAUUAAUUUUGUAAAAAAUAUAGUAUACGUAGAUAAACCAAUUUAUUUUUUUUUUAAAAUCUAGAAACUAUUAUAUUAAUGAUACAUGUCAUAUACAAGGGUUAUUGUCAAUGUUUAUCCAUCCAUUUCACAAUGCUACAUCCUACAUGUUUUACACGUUCACGCGGUUUUUUCUUUUUUUGGUAGAGACCUUUUUUCAUUAGUUGUGAACUAUUUCACCUACCAAUAACUGCAAGUAUAGAUUCAAAAAUGUUAUGCAAUAGUUGCAUCAGAAGUGCAAAACAAAAUUUCUACUAUGUAUCACUUUAAGUAAUUUUAAGGUUUUUGCACAAAUAUUAAAAAAGUACAAAAUCUUAUGUACUUUAUCUUGAUCAUAUAAAAUAACAUUAAAUACAAUCAAUUCAACCAAUAAAAAAAUGUAGUAUUUUGUAAUUGGUCACAAGUUUCAAAUGAUAUUAAAUUUUAUCUAGAAUUAUAAGAAUAUCACUUAUUAUGAAACAAAAUAAAUAUUGUUAACCAUCACUUAAAAUGAUACGGAGGGAGUAAUAAACAUAAGAAUCGGAGUAAUUUCUAUUUUUAUCUUUUUCUUUAACUAAAUUUAUGUUUUAUCCCGAUUCUUGGAUGGGUUAAUAAAUAUUUAUAUUAAAAAAUUUUAAAAAAUUAUAUUUAUCUUAGAGAUACAUUCCAUAUAAAAUGAUGAUGGAACUUGUUCACAAUAAAAUAAAAUAAUGAUGAACUGACCAAAGCCAAUUAUGGGGAUUGUGACGAGGUAUGCUGGUCCAGAAUAUGUGUCAGUGCCUCUGUGGUCAUUAUACACAUUCGUCUUUAACUUCUAAAUGGUGAUCUUUUAAAUUAUUUAGGUUCAUACAUAACAAAAUAUACGAUGUAGACAAAAAAAUAAUCAGCAACUGCAUAUCAUUUUCUGGUCAAGAUUACUAAUAAUUAACAACAUCAGUAAUUGAUGACAAAAAAAAAAAAACAACAUAAGUAAUCACUUUGUUCAUGAACAAAAUACCUUCACAUCUUUCCUGUUCAAAAACAACAUUAUACACUAAAUUGAUGCCAUCAGAAAUCUCUUAUUCUUCAGACGUCGAAGAGGAGUGUUCUCAUUCUCCAGACUUUUGACAAUCAUUAAAAUCUCAUGUUUUUCUUUUUACUUUCUCAGAAAGCCUCCCUCUCUCGAAGAAUCUUCUGUCCCAUAUACCUACACAUUUUAUAACUCUCCAACAAUCACAUCUUAUAUUGAAUAAGUUUGUUUCAUUAGGUUUAUGCAUGUAUUUACCUUCCGAGCAUCAUGAUUGUGGCUUGAAGAUUAGUCCCUGGAGACUUGAGAAACGUGGAUGCAUCGAUGACCUUCAAAGCAUCGAUCCCUAAUACUUUGUAAUCAUUAUCAACCACUUUUCCAACUUGACAACCUCCAUGGUAAUGAUAAAUAGUCAUCGUCGUAUCCAUACAAUACUGCUUCAAAUCAAACGUAGAAGUUAUGUGCCUUGGCCUCAGAUUGAUAGGAAGAGCAAGAAUGAGAUUUAAUAGUCCACGCCCGUUUACUCCAGGGUACUUGUAACUGGAAUAUCCCUUCGAAUCUAUCACAUUUAUGAUAGCACUAAGUCCUUUAACACAGUUAUUCAAAUCCUCUGGGUCUUGGUAGUAGUUGAAUGUCACCGAAGGGUUAUCAUCUGGAUUUGUGUUCCGCAGCUCCAAGUGACCUCGAGAGAGAGGUCCAGACACUUUCUGAAUAAUCACACCCGCUUGUGUCGUCACGUUUAAUCCAAGAUCCAGCGAUUUCAAAAGGUUUGAGAUGGAUUGGCUAGGGAAUUUUAGCUACAUAAUAAAAAAAAAUAGUAUGUGUUAAACCAAAUUUAUAAUAAUUAGGUUAUAUGAAAUCUCUAUAACCUAAUUAAUUACUUACCUUAUUAAGAAGAUCUAAAACGCCAUUGAAGAAGGUACGAGUCAAACUAAUGGAGAGACUUAAGCUACUUCCACCUUCAAUGUAACUAGCAAAGUUAGGUAUCCCAACGACUUGGACAAGGGAUACCUCUACGGGUUUAGGAGAAGGGAUGAAGACCGGGUGCAUUGGGUUAUCACCCAUCCCUUGUCCAACAUUGGGUGGUCUAAGAUGAUAGGAUUCACCCCAUGGACUGCAAGAUGGGCUGCAGGGCCUACACCACUCAGCAUCAAUAGUUGUGGACUUGCGAUGGCGCCCGCUGAUAAGAUCACCUCACUCCUUGCGUCUUGUACCGUAUGUUCAGCUGUGUGGAACACUCCAUUUGCAUCUUGAAAUAUCACCCCAUAUGCCUUGGGCCUUGAGUUCCCUGUAAAACAAAAAUAUUCACAUCCAAAUGAUGAUAGAUAAGAAUUUAUGGUCAUGUUCAACAGAGAAUGGCUGCAAUAAUAAAAUGAUACGUUAUAACUUAGAAACAAGUCAACAACAAAGCUAGUAAUAAUUGAAAGUCGCGAUUUCGAUCUGAAUUGAGAUUUAGUAUUAUAAAAAGAAGUUUCUUUUGUAAAAUUUAAGUUUGUUUAGUUAUUUAUCAUGUCUUCAUCUCUGUUUGAUAUAACAUUUUAUUUAACUUUAAGAUAUAAUUUUAUUUUAUUUAUUUAUGCUAAAUAAUAGUAUAUCAAUUAUUAAAAUGGAUAUAAUUUGUAUAUAGUACGUAAGAACACAGUUAGUUUAAAAUUUGUACCUAUUUUUUUAAUAAGUAUAGGUUCUAUAAAAUAGAUUUGAACCAUUUUUUAAGAUUAAAAUCUACAAAAUACAUAGAUGCACAAAUGUUUAGGAUAAAUAAUUCGCGAUCAAGCAAAACUUCUCUACGGGUAUUAUUUAAAAGUUUUAUUUUUAUUUUUUAAAAACAGAAAAAAAAAAUUAGAUAUUAAAAUAAGCAAACAUCGUUAAAAGUUGUUUAGAUAUGAACGUUUUUGUCUAGAAUGACAUCCUGCUGAUAACGUUUUGAUUAAAGAUAUAGUAGUUGCUCAAAAAAAAGAUUAAAGAUAUAGUUUUGAAGGAAAUCUUAAAUACGCUUUAUAUCAAUGUACAAUUGGGAAUUUUUCGUUUAUUUAUGUUUUUUGCAUUUUUAGUUAAAGAGUUAUUAAAUAUGAAAUAUUUUGCGUCUAGCAUAUAUAGUUUUGCAGCUUUUGCUAUUCUAUAUUUUCUAUGCAAGCUAGAAAAUAAGAAAAGUUUAAGAAUGAACCCAUCUUCAUACAAAAUAUAUGCUAGAACCUAGUACAAAAAAUAUCAUGACGGUGUGCGAUUUAUGUAAUACUCGCAUUCUUAAUUUAUAGAGUCAAGUCCACUUAUGAAGUUAUCUUGAACAUGUCAAUUUCGUAUGAUAACUUAGUCCGACCUUUAAGUUGUUAAUAAAAUUGUCAAUAUAUCUUUUUGGUAGGAUAUUUUAAUGCAAAAAGUUAAUAAGAAUAAUAUGAGAAUAUUUGUUUCCUUAAUUUAAAUAAAUUAUUUCAUUAAUUAAAUUAAAUGGCAAUGACAUACUUGUAAUAUUAGAAGAAAAUCAAGAGAAUGUCAAAAAAUGUAUUCCAGUUUUAAUAGUAUAGAUUAUUCUUUAGUUUAUUGCUUAAAAAUAUAAUAUUAUAUAACAUUUUCAUGCUACAAUAUUUUUCAACAAUAUAUGUUCUCAUUAAAUAUAAUGAUACAUUAUUAGCAUAUCUAAAAUCUAACUAAUGAAUAAAUUAAAAGUUAAUAAAUUAAGGAAGUGUUAAAAAAAAUAUUUGUUUUCUAUAAUUUGUUUUUUCUUUCCGACUAGAUAUUUUUAUUCUGAAAGGAACAUGUCAACUACAAACACAAGUUGUAUCAUAAUUAAACAGAAGAUUAGUUACGUGUAUCCUACGCCAUCUCUCUCGCCCUUCCUAACCCUCACGAGUCACGAGACAUCCCGUCAGAGUCAUAAAUCACGAAGACAUGCAUUAAUUUUAGUUUGACAUCGCAUGCAUGCAAUGAAUACAAAUCAAUAUUAUACCUUUAGUGGUGAAGAGGAUUUUAUGGACAGAAGCGUGCAAGUAGACAACAAUCGUAUUCGGAUUAGCAUAUUCCAACAAAUCAGCCGCCGUGUGUCUAUGACCAUCCGUAUCAAAUGUCGUACCACCAACUUUGGUCCCAUGAACAUGUUCGUAGGUGAAACCAUUGUAGGGAGUCACUCCAACCUCCAAAAGACCAUCUAUAAACGCCGUUUGCCAUCCCUUAAUCUGUGGUUCGAACACCAACUUCUUCUCGACCCACUCGUAAGCAGCUUC
rnacentral:lncRNA from 1 species